UCUCUAUCAACGUUGGUGUAAAAGGACCCUGCCUUUUAGCAGCUCAUUCCGCCCCCAACAAAAGACUACACUUCCCAGCGACCCUUGCAGACCCGAAAAGCCGGUUUCCACACCCCGAGGCUCUCUCAUGCCCUUCUCCCAGUCACUAUGCCUAGCCCCAGAUAACCACUCUUCUGUCCUCUAGCACCUCCAUCACCAGUUCCUGGACUUCAUGAAGGGCACUGCUGGGUUGAGGUCUCCACGACCGAGCUGGCCUUGGUAAGUGGCGCCCAAAUGUGGGGCUCGAACCUGGGUCGAAGUGCUGCCGGAGCAACGGUUGGAGAAUGUGGACCUACACUGGAGGACACCCGAGUACUCUUAAGCAAUCCCUGUGAGGAGAAUUCUAAUAGCCAAACUAUUUCAACAGGCCCUCGUGUGCUAGGGCCUUUCAUUGAGUGAAUAUGCAAGGUUCUCUCAUUAAGUAAAGAUGAAUUAGGAGCAAAACAACCAAAUGAUGAAGAUGAAUGAGACUGAGACAAGGACUGUGGCCAAAGCCCACAUUCCACUGACUUCAGGAUGUAGUCUCCUGCAUUCUGUGGGGACGAUACCCUCUGAUGCUU
rnacentral:lncRNA from 1 species